ACAAUGGUGGUUCAUUGGUAGAAUUCUUGUCUUCCACACACUGAGACCUGGGUUCAAUUUCCAACCAAUGCA
rnacentral:tRNA from 1 species